rnacentral:rRNA from 1 species
CUACGUAGGUGGCGAGCGUUAUCCGGAAUUACUGGGUGUAAAGGGCGUGUAGGCGGGGAUGCAAGUCAGAUGUGAAAUUCCGGGGCUCAACCUCGGCACUGCAUCUGAAACUGUGUCUCUUGAGUGCUGGAGAGGAAAGUGGAAUUCCUAGUGUAGCGGUGAAAUGCGUAGAGAUUAGGAGGAACACCAGUGGCGAAGGCGACUUUCUGGACAGCAACUGACGCUGAGGCGCGAGAGCGUGGGGAGCAAACAGGAUUAGAUACCCUGGUAGUCCACGCCGUAAACGAUGGAUACUAGGUGUAGGAGGUAUCGACCCCUUCUGUGCCGUAGUUAACACAAUAAGUAUCCCACCUGGGGAGUACGGCCGCAAGGCUGAA